rnacentral:lncRNA from 1 species
CUCACGCGCUCACGUGCCACCACGUACGGUGGUCGGAGGGUCAAAACCUUCCCCCUUUUCAGCGAAAGUCAGGUAAUCUCUUUUCCUUUUUGCUAUUUGUAAUAUAUGUUAAAAUAUUCACCUUUGUAUUCGAUUGGCUACUGGUAUUGUAAGUCGAUACUACUGUGCUCUGUUGAAUUUGUUUGUAUAUUUCUCUCUUCGUAAAUCGUGUGUAUAUUAUUGUCUUUGUAAAAAAUCAGGGAUCCUUUUUUACAAUGAAGGUAUUUGGGCUUUAUAGCCACUGUUUACAGUGUAUUUACAUCUUUAUUUUAUUUCCUUGCCAUAUUUGUUGGUUCUGCUCCCUCUUGUUUCCUUUUGCAGGCGAUCGAAGAGAAGAAAGGGCACUGAUCACGGCGUCGAUUUGCGUCUCAACGAGAUACAGGGCCUGGAAUCACGGCACCUAUGAAGGGUAGCUGAAACGACGCAAGGUGAAACGGCAUGA